rnacentral:lncRNA from 1 species
CUUGUAUAAUAUUAAAAUAAAAUCAAUUAUAACACUUUAGAUCAUAUCUAAAAAUUUUUUAUAAUUUAAGAUUUUAUUUUUUCAUAAUUAAAAUAAUUUAUAUUACAUAGAUUAGAUGUCUUACAUUUCAUACAACUUUGUAUCACAUACAACAAAUCUAGGGUUUCAGGAUUUAAAAUUUUGCAGAAAAAUAAGUUUUUUCUUUCACAUUCUUCUUCAUGGGAUCUAAUUACAUGGCACCCC